GAUCAUGGCUCAGGAUGAACGCUGGCGGCGUGCUUAACACAUGCAAGUCGAGCGAAGCGAUUUAAAUGAGACUUCGGUGGAUUUUAAAUUGACUGAGUGGCGGACGGGUGAGUAACGCGUGGGUAACCUGCCUUAUACAGGGGGAUAACAGUUGGAAACGACUGCUAAUACCGCAUAAGCGCACGGUAUCGCAUGAUACAGUGUGAAAAACUCCGGUGGUAUAAGAUGGACCCGCGUCUGAUUAGCUAGUUGGUGAGGUAACGGCCCACCAAGGCGACGAUCAGUAGCCGGCCUGAGAGGGUGAACGGCCACAUUGGGACUGAGACACGGCCCAAACUCCUACGGGAGGCAGCAGUGGGGAAUAUUGCACAAUGGGGGAAACCCUGAUGCAGCGACGCCGCGUGAGUGAUGAAGUAUUUCGGUAUGUAAAACUCUAUCAGCAGGGAAGAUAAUGACGGUACCUGACUAAGAAGCACCGGCUAAAUACGUG
rnacentral:rRNA from 1 species